AUCUUUUGCAUCGGAGGUAAAAUGUUGCUACCGGCUACGGACCAAGAGCUCUAUGAACUAUUAUGUUCCCACUGCGGGCAAUAAUACAGAAUCGGUGUAAGGAGAAUUGUUCAUUGUGCAAGCUGCAAUAGACGUGCGAUGUUAAUACCCAGGGCCUGCUUUGAUGUAUAAUUGCAGAUUGCAGUGGAACAGUUGUUGCAACCUUAUCAAGCCAAUUAGGAGAGAAAUUUCUUGAAAUUACCUCUGCAGAAAUGUAUGAAAUAAUCUCUGUAAAGGUAUGUUAGUGAGAAUAAGAGACUAUAUUACUCA